AGAGAGAGAGAGAGAGAAGGCAGAGAGAGAGAGAGAGAGAGAAGGCAGAGAGAGAGAGAGAGAGAGAGAAGGCAAAGAGAGAGAGGAGAGAGAGAGAGAGAGAGAGAGAGAGAAGGCAGAGAGAGAGAGAAGGCAGAGAGAGAGAGAAGGCAAAGAGAGAGAGGAGAGAGAGAGAGAAGGCAGAGAGAGAGAGAGAGAAGGCAAAGAGAGAGAGGAGAGAGAGAGAGAGAGAGAGAGAGAGAGAGAGAAGGCAGAGAGAGAGAGAAGGCAGAGAGAGAGAGAAGGCAAAGAGAGAGAGAAGGCAGAGAGAGAGAGAGAGAGAAGGCAGAGAGAGAGAGAAGGCAAAGAGAGAGAGGAGAGAGAGAGAGGAGAGAGAGAGAGAGAGAGAAGGCAAAGAGAGAGAGAGAAGGCAGAGAGAGAGAGAAGGCAGAGAGAGAGAGAAGGCAGAGAGAGAGAGAGAGAGAGAGAGAGAAGGCAGAGAGAGAGAGAAGGCAGAGAGAGAGAGAAGGCAGAGAGAGAGAGAAGGCAGAGAGAGAGAGAGAAG
ensembl:lncRNA